AGUUCCUCCUAAAAAGUGUAAAACCAUCCCCCAUUGGUUUACUUUGGAUAUUGGGGAACACAGUCAGUCAUCCCUCUCUCCUUUGAGAAAUGAUGAGGGUGGUGAUGAAUUGCAUCAGGUAGCUGGCUUGUAACUAUUGAUUUUUAGAGAUUGAUUCAAUCUCAUAAAUUACGUCAAACAAUCAAUCCAGAUUGGAGUUUAGCUAAUGCAGUCAAUCUCUGUUUUAAGGAUGUUAUCUAAAGUGGCAGGGAAGAGAACAUUAAUUUCAAUGUGGGCAGCAAAAGAUCAGCCCACAACAACAAAAAGGCACCAGCAAUCGUUCAGAGAAGCCAGAGAGAGAACUGGGCCCUAUCCUUCAGAGCAGCUAGAGAGAAAGGAUGACAGAGAGACAAUACAGCAGACCCAGCCAGAGACGGCAGCAAGAAAAUAAGUGGUCAAAAAGCAAAGAGCCCUGAGUGUAGCUGCCAAGUAUAAGUCCAUGUUUAAAAAUGAGUGGACAGCCAAAUGGUCAUUUUUAUAUAAUGGAACCAUGAGCAUGCAUUAUUGGUGUUCAAUAUGUCGACAGGAGAACACAUGUUCUAACCAAGACAUUACAGAUGUUAUCAGACAUAUUAAGAGCCAGGGCCACCAGGAGAAACAUGAGGUGCUGCAGUCUGCAAGUGACAUUGCCUGGUUUUCUGUCUCGGUAGCCACUUCUGUUGGUGGGAUGUCUACACAAGAAGCCAAGACAAGGAGGGCAAAGGUUAAGGUGGCCUUGUCAUUGGUUGAGCACAAUGUGCCGAUGGAGGUGGCAAAUCACCUGGGGCCUCUGUUCAAGGAGUGUUUCAUUGAUUCCCAGAUUGCUAAAGACUACAAGUGUGCCCGCACAAAGACCACCUGUAUAAUCAACAAAGCUGUCACACCACACAUCAAAAAUGUACUGGUGAUGAAGAUGAAAGACAAUCCGAACACGAUCAUCACCGAUGGAUCCAGGAAAUCCCACACCAAGCUAUCUCUGAAAGUUGGCAGCCUUGGGCCUAUCUAG
rnacentral:lncRNA from 8 species